CAAAGGAUUUCCGAAAAUAUUUCGACGAAUAUUCUACAGGAGGUUUUCCCAGGAUUAAAGGGUGAAUACCGGAGCAAGGAGGUUCCAGCGACCCCAUGGUAAAGUCAAUUUUACCGCUCCCCCUGAAAUCAUGAGUGCGAAGAUUUUAUCAGUGAGGCGAUCUGGACAGCACUAUAAUCAUCGAGGCGUUCCUAAGGUCAUUACUAUUAUCGAUGCGUUCCUGAGGUCAUCAUCAUCAUCGAGACGUUUUCUAUUACUAUUACAUGAAUGUUAGUAAUAUUAUUCACUUAGUUAGUUAACCGAAUUAAUGUUGAGUUGAGUUAGGAAUUUAAGUUACUACGUUAAAAGUACAUAAAGUUUUAAAAUGUUGCAUACCGAUUUGUUAAAGAAACUAAAAAAAGAACGUAAGAUGAAACUGGUGAUAAAGGUUUUGAAGUAGAAAACAUAACAGCUAUAUUGGAAAUAAGCUCAUCUGAAAGUUAUUCAUCACAACAGUUUUCUAUAGAUAAGGAGUUGCAACAGAUAAUAUAGAUGGAGAUUUGUCUGUAUCAAAA